GUGCCAGCAGCCGCGGUAAUACGUAGGGUGCGAGCGUUAAUCGGAAUUACUGGGCGUAAAGCGUGCGCAGGCGGUUUUGUAAGCCAGAUGUGAAAUCCCCGGGCUCAACCUGGGAAUGGCAUUUGGGACUGCAAAGCUGGAGUGCGGCAGGGGGGACUGGAAUUCCUGGUGUAGCAGUGAAAUGCGUAGAGAUCAGGAGGAAUACCGAUGGCGAAGGCAGGUCCCUGGGUUUACACUGACGCUCAUGCACGAAAGCGUGGGGAGCAAACAGGAUUAGAUACCCUCGUAGUCC
rnacentral:rRNA from 1 species